CACUCUCUAGCAGGCCACAAUAAUGGCCACGAUCCUGCUCCACCUCCUACAACAGAUUCCGUACGGCUCUAUCACUCCCUGGCAGGCCGCAGUAACGGCCACAGCACUGCUCCACUUCCUGCGAUAGAUUCCUCGCAGCUCCAUCACUCCCUGACAGGCCACAAUAAUGGCCACGAUCUUGCUCCACUUUCUACGACGGAUACCGCACGAUUCUUCCAUUCUCUGGCA
rnacentral:lncRNA from 1 species